rnacentral:lncRNA from 1 species
CAUCAAGACAGAGGCUUGUUUGUGCAAAUAGCCUGGGAUCAGGCUAUGAUUCCUGGAUCAUUUCUCUCCUUGCGGAAGUUGGGGGACAAGAGCGAACUCUGUGACAUCUCGGGGAUGCAGCAGGUUCCUGUGGCCCCUAUGUCGAGGGGAAGGACUGAGAGGCAGCAGGGAGAGGAUGUGAAGCAGGACCUGGCGACGAAAGGGGGGCCCUACCGAUACCCCCACUCAGGAGGCUCAGAUGUGUGAAACAAAUCCCAAACCCUCUGUUAUGAAUUUUUUUUGUUGGCACGCGCAGGAGGAAGUGAUGGACUGGUUCUUUCUGGAGAGUGGCUGCCAACCCCAAGCAGCCCCCUGCGGCCCCCCAGCCCCUUGACCAGCGUUUGUUCCUAGCAGAAGGGCUGUUUGUGUGCUGUUUGGGCUCCUUUUCUUUGUUUUAAGUGUGGCUACAAUCAGCUGCUGAGAGGCUCACUGCUCCGGUUCGUUCCCUGCCAAUUUCACUGAGAGCUGGCACCACAGGCGGCUCCGGAGGCAACGAAGAGAGGCUGGAGAGGAUAGAUCAUGGAGGGGAAAAAAUGGACACAUGCCAUCGACGGAGCGGCGAGGCUGCCAGAAUGCCAGCAGGCAGCAUGGGGCCAAAAAAAAACCACCCCACACAGAGCAGAAAAGAAGCUGGCAGCCCAUCUCGAAGCAGGCGGUGGCUGAGUUGGGAGAGGUGCCAUGGAGGACGGGCUGCAGCGAGCAGGCAAUGCGGGAAAGAGAGAGAGAAAAACAGACAGACAAAUUGGCAGAGGCAGCACAGGUAGCAGACGGCGAAUCGGGAGAGGAAACAGCUAACCACAGCCGAGGGCACUCAGCACGUCACAGGACCAGGCCCAGCACCAGGACGUGCCCCCAGAAGAGCAUCGGGAAAGGAAGGAGCCCCCAACUUGGGGGCUGAUGGGACAGCGCUGCAGUGCUUUGGCAGGUGCGGAGAGUGAAACCUAAAUGGGGGCUAGAUACUAUGGUGAUGGGCACAUUAAAGACAGCUGCAAUGACAUUGAUUAGCUAGACAAUGACCAGGCACUAAUUCUGCUGCAGCCACUGCAGCACCAUGCAG